CAAGGCAACAAGAAGAAAAUUGAUGGUGCCAGAAUAGAACAAAAGGAUUGCCCUGGAAGAAAGAGAAGAAAUAUCAAUGAUAGCCAAAAAGGAUGUCAUCCAGACAUUCAAAUUUUUAAGAACCUACUUUAAUGAGGAAAGGCACAACAAGCAGCCAAUAUUUAAAGGGAAAAUUAAGAUUUCCUGAAGUUAUAUCGUGUUACCGUAUAACUAGAGAGGAUCUUGGACAUCAAGUUACAGAUGAGGAAAUGAAGGCCAAGAUGAACUGAUUACUGAUUGACAGAUCUGGUAUUAGAACUUCCAUGCCUAUGUCUAUCCUCCAAGACUCAGUUAUAUUUCCAUGUUUUGUUUGUUGAAGCAGAAGAACUCAACUGUGACAGGAAUCCCUGAAUCAAGUAUACUAUGCAAAGUUGGUAUCUUGUUGCAAAGGUAAUACAACUGUGAAGUGAUACUUGUUAUGAUGAAAUUAAAGUCAAAGAUAUGACUCUUGGGAUGUAACCUUUUGCAGAGAAGCAUUAAAAGAAUGUUAUUCUGCU
rnacentral:lncRNA from 1 species